rnacentral:rRNA from 1 species
UACAGGGGGUGCAAACGUUGCUCGGAAUCAUUGGGCGUAAAGCGCACGUAGGCGGUUCGUUAUGUCGGAUGUGAAAGCCCUUGGCUUAACUGAGGAAGUGCACCCGAAACUGAGUAGCUAGAGUACGAAAGAGGGUCGCGGAAUUCCCGGUGUAGAGGUGAAAUUCGUAGAUAUCGGGAGGAACACCGGUGGCGAAGGCGGCGACCUGGGUCGAGACUGACGCUGAGGCGCGAAAGCGUGGGGAGCAAACAGG